rfam:Hordeum vulgare subsp. vulgare, WGS project CAJW01000000 data, contig: morex_contig_1563519
AUCCUACUCCCUCCGUCCGUAAAUACUUGUCCUAGAAAUGAAUGAAUCUAGACUUAUUUUAGUUACAGAUACAUUCAUUACAUUUAUUUUUAGAACAAGUAUUUCCGAACGGAGGGAGUAUUUG